CCUACGGGAGGCAGCAGUGGGGAAUAUUGGGCAAUGGAGGAAACUCUGACCCAGCGACGCCGCGUGAGUGAUGAAGGACUUCGGAUUGUAAAGUUCUUUUCUAAGGGAAGAAGAAAGUGACGGUACCUUAGGAAUCAGCCUCGGCUAACGACGUGCCAGCAGCCGCGGUAAUACGUAGGAGGCGAGCGUUAUCCGGAAUGACUGGGCGUAAAGGGGGCGUAGGUGGCUUCGCAAGUUAGUAGCGUAACUCCAAGGCUCAACCUUGGAACUACUACUAAAACUGUUGGACUUGAGUGCAGGAGAGGCAAGCGGAAUUCCUAGUGUAGCGGUGGAAUGCGUAGAUAUUAGGAGGAACACCAGUGGCGAAGGCGGGUUGCUAGACUGUAACUGACACUGAGGCACGAAAGCGUGGGGAGCAAACAGGAUUAGAUACCCCAGUAGUC
rnacentral:rRNA from 1 species